AGGUGAGACCCCCUUCUCGUCAGGAACUUUCGGUUGCUCUAGAACUUUCCUUCGUCUUUUCAUUAUUGUAUUGCUCUCUAGAACUUUCCUUCCUCUUUUCAGUAUUAUAUUACUGUCUCCCUCAUUCCUGCGAAACUGUGUGCGUUCUGAAAGGGUUUAUCCCGUCUCGGGCUACUACAUGAACAACCGACGUUUCUCUCGGAUCCAGACACAAAGGAUCCGUUCUAGACACUGUCGAUUCGGAAUCGGCGCAGUCAAGACCUAAUUCGGUCAAAUCAGCCUGACUCCGAUCAGGUCGCAACCUGCGGUGGGUGAGUUGUGACUCACCCUAGGUCCGAACGAGUCAGUUCGAGUUGUUGACGCAAAAACCAUGGUUUUGACCCAAUUUCGUCGAGCGAAUCGAGUAAGUUUCCCACUCUCUUUCAGCUUCUACUUGUGAGGUUGAGUUGAAGAAGUAGAUUGAAAAGCUGAGUAAUUAAAGAGCAAAAAGAGCAUUGAUCAUGGCCAGUGAAGAUUGACCGACCAGCAACACUGUCACUGUGGACGUAGUUGAUGUAGGUGUAGAGUAGGCUGAUGUUGUUCACUCAAUCGUUAAAGCAGAUCGGGUAGCUGAUGAGCUAGAUGGGGUCCAUGCGGCCCAUAUUGAGCCCCACCAUUAGAUAAUAGAUUCAUGUUUUAUUUAAUGAUCCUUGUUAUUUGUAUUUGUAUAUGUCCCAUAUGGCCACCACAUUUGGAAUUUUGUGAUGAUCAAAAUAUUUUUAUACAAUGAAUGGUUUAUUCCACCAA